GGCUGAAUGAAUUUACUAUUCAUGCGGUAUAUCCCCGUUUUUGCUGGGUUUGUAUCAUCUUUCUUUUUGACGUUCAAAGAGGCUUUAUAAAUAGGCUCUUCCUCGCCUGAGUUGCAGCUGUCCUGUGCCUGUCGUUGGCACGAGUCCUUGGGCAUUACUUACCAUUUCUUAUUGCUCGUUGUGGGCCAAGCAAAAGUGUUAAGUUUUCACAUAGUCUUUUCCACUAUUGCGGUGCAUUGAAAGGCCAUCCAAAGUCAAGAAUGUUGUCCAAUAGCAGCAAAGAAUGGAAACAGCUUGGGGUCAAAUAGACUUCCAACUUACAAAUCAAGCAUAUCACAGCCUCCUCACUGCCUGCAGCAUCAGAUCCAAGCCCCUUGGAGUGAAAAACAAGAUUCACUGUGAUUUGGUCCCCCUGCCUCUCUGACCCUGGCUAGAACUGGUCCCCAAGCAGGGCCCUUCACUCCUGCUCCAGGCAGUGAGCCCACAGCGUGGGUGUGUUUCUCUGGCACUCUCUGCCUCAGAUCCCCUUCCCACCUCAUCAUCUUCUAUUAAAUUCCUACUUAUCCCUUA